GGCGGCUUGCAGAAAAGAACCCCUAAGCAUAGCUUUACUAAACGUUUCUUAAGACUAAACUGAUUUUUAUUUAAAACGAUUUAAAACUGUCUUGCGCCAUGGUUUUUCUAAAACGAUUUAACAAAACCUAGUUUAUGAUAUCAUUCAAUUUCUCAUUCGGUCUAUAUACGAUUCGUUAUACACUAUUUGAUUUAAAAUUUGAUAGUUUCCAAUGAAGUGGGCUAAUAUUUUGGGUGAAAUGAAAUAUACUUGUCGUCACAUGUCAGUCCAGUCACCGACUGUUACUGUCACUUGAUAAACAAACAACCGUGUGCUAGAAAUAUAAAUACCUAAUUGAUAAAUUAUAAAAAUGGAAGGUAAAAACCACCAACGGGCACCCAAUUUUACAUGUGACGAAAGUAUGCUUUUAUGUAACCUCGUAGACAAAUAUAAUUUCAUAAUUGAAAAUAAAAAAACUGAUGGUUAGACCGUAGCCGAAAAACAGAAGGCUUGGAAGAUGCUGAGUAAAGAAUAAUAUAACGCCAACACCACUUAUGUACCCAGAACUACUGAGAAUUUACAACCUGGGAACAAAAACCUGAAAACAAAGACGAAAAAACAGCACUCAAGUGAAAAAAUGCAGAUCUCAAAUAUACUUAGAUAGUAAAGUUUUAGACGAGUCUGUAGUUCAGACAGUGGCGCUCCAUGGAUAAGACUGGGAAAUGGUGUCGGCUGAUGUUAAUUUCCCCCCAGAGGAAUGCCAAACAACAUUCAAUAUUUUAAGUAAAGAAGCGAAACAAUCAUCAAGCAAAAUAAAA